rnacentral:tRNA from 1 species
GAUCCGGUAGCUCAGUUGGCAGAGCAUCUGCCUUUUAAGCAGAGGGUCCCGGGUUCGAGCCCCGGCCGGGUCACCA